CACGUAGGGUGCGAGCGUUGUCCGGAAUUAUUGGGCGUAAAGAGCUCGUAGGCGGUGUGUCGCGUCGGCCGUGAAAACCUGCAGCUUAACUGUGGGCUUGCGGUCGAUACGGGCAUCACUGGAGUUCGGCAGGGGAGACUGGGAUUCCUGGUGUAGCGGUGAAAUGCGCAGAUAUCAGGAGGAACACCGGUGGCGAAGGCGGCUUUCUGGGCCUUACCUGACGCUGAGGAGCGAAAGCUGGGGGAGCGAACAGG
rnacentral:rRNA from 1 species